UGAGUAACCUGCCCUUAACUCUGGGAUAAGCCUGGGAAACUGGGUCUAAUACCGGAUAUGACUCCUCAUCGCAUGGGUGGGGGGUGGAAAGCUUUAUUGUGGUUUUGGAUGGACUCGCGGCCUAUCAGCUUGUUGGUGAGGUAAUGGCUCACCAAGGCGACGACGGGUAGCCGGCCUGAGAGGGUGACCCGGCCACACGUGGGACUGAGACACGGCCCAGACCUCCUACGGGGAGCAG
rnacentral:rRNA from 1 species